GGACUGCGGAGGAUCAUUA
rnacentral:rRNA from 1 species